rnacentral:rRNA from 1 species
ACUCCUACGGGAGGCAGCAGUGGGGAAUAUUGGACAAUGGGCGCAAGCCUGAUCCAGCCAUGCCGCGUGAGUGAUGAAGGCCCUAGGGUUGUAAAGCUCUUUCACCGGUGAAGAUAAUGACGGUAACCGGAGAAGAAGCCCCGACUAACUUCGUGCCAGCAGCCGCGGUAAUACGAAGGGGGCUAGCGUUGUUCGGAUUUACUGGGCGUAAAGCGCACGUAGGCGGACUAUUAAGUCAGGGGUGAAAUCCCGGGGCUCAACCCCGGAACUGCCUUUGAUACUGGUAGUCUUGAGUUCGAGAGAGGUGAGUGGAAUUCCGAGUGUAGAGGUGAAAUUCGUAGAUAUUCGGAGGAACACCAGUGGCGAAGGCGGCUCACUGGCUCGAUACUGACGCUGAGGUGCGAAAGCGUGGGGAGCAAACAGGAUUAGAAACCCUAGUAGUCCCAUGA